GAACGACUGGCGGCGUGCUUAACACAGUGCGAAGUCGAACGGGGCGACCCCAAACGGAAGUUUUACGGACAACUAGCGGGGAAGUGCCGUAGUGGCGGACGGGUGAGUAACGCGUGAGCACCUGCCUUGGAUGGGGAAUAACAGACUGGAAACAUCUGCUAAUACCGCAUGAUGCAGUUGGGCCACAUGGCUCUGACUGCCAAAGAUUUAUCGCUCUGAGAUGGGCUCGCGUCUGAUUAGCUAGUUGGCGGGGUAACGGCCCGACCAAGGCGACGAUCAGUAGCCGGACUGAGAGGUUGGCCGGCCACAUUGGGACUGAGACACGGCCCAGACUCCUACGGGAGGCAGCAGUGGGGAAUAUUGGGCAAUGGGCGCAAGCCUGACCCAGCAACGCCGCGUGAAGGAAGAAGGCUUUCGGGUUGUAAACUUCUUUUCUCAGGGACGAACAGAUGACGGUACCUGAGGAAUAAGCCACGGCUAGCUACGUG
rnacentral:rRNA from 1 species